UCCCUGUAGCACAAUGGAUAGCGUGUUGGACUUCUAAUCCGAAGGUUAUGGAUUCAAAUCCCAUCUGGGGAU